UACGAAGGGGGCUAGCGUUGUUCGGAUUUACUGGGCGUAAAGCGCACGUAGGCGGAUCGUUAAGUCGGGGGUGAAAUCCUGGAGCUCAACUCCAGAACUGCCUUCGAUACUGGCGAUCUUUGAGUCCGGAAGAGGUGAGUGGAACUCCUAGUGUAGAGGUGGAAUUCGUAGAUAUUAGGAAGAACACCAGUGGCGAAGGCGGCUCACUGGUCCGGUACUGACGCUGAGGUGCGAAAGCGUGGGGAGCAAACAGG
rnacentral:rRNA from 1 species